GCGGUAAAAAAAAAAAUUAAAAAAUUAAAAAAAAAAUCGUUCGUUUCAAUCUGCAACUAGGGUUUGGUUAGAUUCAGUGAAGAAGAAGAAGAAAAUCGAAGACGGCCGGAGUAGCUGCAUCAGGACUCAGCCCCGGCUUCCGCCUUCAAUCCACCGACAUCCAGGCCGCCCUCAUGUGGGGCGUCGCCGCCACCACCACCGCUCUUUGGCUUAUCCAGGCCUUUCAACAAGUUGAUCAUUAAUCAAACUCAAGUAUCUCACAUCACAGCCCUUAUGGUUCUUGGAUAUCUGAAGGACAGGGUCAGCAAAUUAUAACUAAUUGGGCUCCCCUCUCAUUGAUCACAGUGCGUUCUGGAUAUUAUUACUUGUCAUUGAUAAUACUUGUCUUUUACAAUUACAAUGUUCUUGUUUCUGGCUACAAAUUUGAAUUCAUUGGUGGCCUUUGGCAAUACCAUUCCCUUUCCAAUGAUUCAUGUUGGUGGGAUUAUUUUUGAUCCAGCAAUUGUGUAGUUGUCCAGCUUUCAGUGAUUUGUUCAUUGACACUUUGUUAAAUGAAUGCUUACUACUCACCCAAAAAAGAAAUAAAUGAACGCUUACGGAUGCUUA